rnacentral:rRNA from 1 species
UACGGGGGGGGCAAGCGUUGUUCGGAAUUACUGGGCGUAAAGGGCUCGUAGGUGGCCAACUAAGUCAGACGUGAAAUCCCUCGGCUUAACCGGGGAACUGCGUCUGAUACUGGAUGGCUUGAGUUUGGGAGAGGGAUGCGGAAUUCCAGGUGUAGCGGUGAAAUGCGUAGAUAUCAGGAGGAACACCUGUGGUGGAGACAGCUUACUGGACCACUUCUGACGCUGAGACACGAAAGCGUGGGUAGCAAACAGG